AUUGAACGCUGGCGGCACGCUUUACACAUGCAAGUCGAACGGUAACAGGGUGCUUGCACCGCUGACGAGUGGCGAACGGGUGAGUAAUGCGUCGGAACGUGCCGAGUAGUGGGGGAUAACGCAGCGAAAGUUGUGCUAAUACCGCAUACGUACUGAGGUAGAAAGUGGGGGACCUUCGGGCCACACGCUAUUCGAGCGGCCGACGUCUGAUUAGCUAGUAGGUGAGGUAAAGGCUCGCCUAGGCGACGAUCAGUAGCGGGUCUGAGAGGAUGAUCCGCCACACUGGGACUGAGACACGGCCCAGACUCCUACGGGAGGCAGCAGUGGGGAAUUUUGGACAAUGGGCGAAAGCCUGAUCCAGCCAUGCCGCGUGUCUGAAGAAGGCCUUCGGGUUGUAAAGGACUUUUGUCGGGGAGGAAAUCCCCAGCGUUAAUACCGCUGGGGGAUGACAGUACCUGAAGAAUAAGCACCGGCUAACUACGUGCCAGCCGCCGCCGUAACAC
rnacentral:rRNA from 1 species